ensembl:lincRNA
UGGAAAUCCACCCCAUGGUGCUCCUCAGCCUCACCCAGGCUCUCCCGCUUCUUGGUGCUCCAGAAGGGGCUGGUGGAGGUGGGGAAGAGGACUCCGUGCAGAAGCUGUAAAGAGAGCGCUCUCUCCUUGAAUCACACGUGGGAAGUGGCCCUCAACUCCCAGCACACAUGGCUGAGAGGACUCAGAGGGGACUCACGUCACUGGGCUGGGGAGACUCAACCCCAAAUUUCCCUUCCAGGGGGUUGCCCUGCUGGCGACAGUCUUGGCUUCGAAGGGGCCCUCCAAGGUCCUGGGACCGGGGAGCUACUGCUGCAGCAGAAGGCUGGAGACCAGACAUCUUCAACAGCCUAAGUGCUGUCUGUGACAGGCCUACUAAGCGCCAGGUGCUGGGGUGUGUGUCUGGGUGAGCGAGUGAGGAUGCCAGGAGGUGGGCAGGGUUGUGAGGUGUGGAGAAGCAGCUGCAGGUGCUAAGAGGGG